GAUGAACGCUGGCGGCGUGCCUAAUACAUGCAAGUCGAGCGAACAGAUAAGGAGCUUGCUCCUUUGACGUUAGCGGCGGACGGGUGAGUAACACGUGGGUAACCUACCUAUAAGACUGGAAUAACUCCGGGAAACCGGGGCUAAUGCAGGAUAACAUGUUGAACCGCAUGGUUCUACAGUGAAAGGCGGCUUUGCUGUCACUUAUAGAUGGACCCGCGCCGUAUUAGCUAGUUGGUGAGGUAACGGCUCACCAAGGCAACGAUACGUAGCCGACCUGAGAGGGUGAUCGGCCACACUGGAACUGAGACACGGUCCAGACUCCUGCGGGAGGCAGCAGUAGGGAAUCUUCCGCAAUGGGCGAAAGCCUGACGGAGCAACGCCGCGUGAGUGAUGAAGGUCUUCGGAUCGUAAAACUCUGUUAUUAGGGAAGAACAAAUGCGUAAGUAACUGUGCGCGUCUUGACGGUACCUAAUCAGAAAGCCACGGCUAACUACGUG
rnacentral:rRNA from 1 species